AACCAUGUGCUUCCCAUCUUGGAGAUCAUGUACUUUCACCCGCUCAUCAUGCCACCAUUAGUCCACCCUAAAUUUUUCGUUACUCCCCAACCCAAUAAAUAUUCAUCAUAUUACUAAAAUAAUAUUUUAUAUCAUGAUGUUAUGAGCUUAUGAUAAUGCUUGUCAGCCAAACAACAUUGUUAGUUGCCCUCAACAUUCACUUUGACGCCAGUGUAUGCAGCCCGCCCAACACACAAGAUACAGUUUUUUUUUUCUUUUUCUAACUAUCCUUGAACUACAAUAUAAAAUAGAUAUAGCAAAAUAAAUAAGCAAAAUAUAAUAUAAUAAAUAUAAAAUUUAUUUUUUAAACUAAAUUUUUG
rnacentral:lncRNA from 1 species